CCUACGGGUGGCUGCAGUGAGGAAUAUUGGUCAAUGGACGCAAGUCUGAACCAGCCAUGCCGCGUGCAGGAAGACGGCUCUAUGGAUUGUAAACUUCUUUUGUACGAGGGUAAACGCCGCUACGCGUAUCUUUCUGAAAGUCUCCUACGAAUAAGCAUCGGCUAACUCCGUUCCAGCAGCCGCGGUAAUACGGCGGAUUCGAGCGUUAUCCGGAUUUAUUGGGGUUAAAGGGUGGGUAGGCGGUCGGAUAAGUUAGGGGUGAAAUCCAGAGGCUCAACUUCUGAAUGGCCUCUGAUACUGUUCGGCUAGAGAGUAGGUGAGGUAGGCGGAAUGUAUGGUGUAGCGGUGAAAUGCAUAGAGAUCAUACAGAACACCGAUUGCGAAGGCAGCUUACCAAGCUACUUCUGACGUUGAGGCACGAAAGCGUGGGGAGCAAACAGGAUUAGAUACCCCUGUAGUC
rnacentral:rRNA from 1 species